rnacentral:rRNA from 1 species
AGUUUGAUCCUGGCUCAGGAUGAACGCUGGCGGCGUGCUUAACACAUGCAAGUCGAACGAUGAACCUCACUUGUGGGGGGAUUAGUGGCGAACGGGUGAGUAACACGUGAGUAACCUGCCCUUGACUCUGGGAUAAGCCUGGGAAACCGGGUCUAAUACUGGAUACGACCUUCUGGCGCAUGCCAUGUUGGUGGAAAGCUUUUGUGGUUUUGGAUGGACUCGCGGCCUAUCAGCUUGUUGGUGGGGUAAUGGCCUACCAAGGCGACGACGGGUAGCCGGCCUGAGAGGGUGACCGGCCACACUGGGACUGAGACACGGCCCAGACUCCUACGGGAGGCAGCAGUGGGGAAUAUUGCACAAUGGGCGCAAGCCUGAUGCAGCGACGCCGCGUGAGGGAUGAAGGCCUUCGGGUUGUAAACCUCUUUCAGUAGGGAAGAAGCCGGCCUUUUUGGGUUGGUGACGGUACCUGCAGAAGAAGCGCCGGCUAACUACGUGCCAGCAGCCGCGGUAAUACGUAGGGCGCAAGCGUUAUCCGGAAUUAUUGGGCGUAAAGAGCUCGUAGGCGGUUUGUCGCGUCUGCCGUGAAAGUCCGGGGCUUAACUCCGGAUCUGCGGUGGGUACGGGCAGACUAGAGUGCAGUAGGGGAGACUGGAAUUCCUGGUGUAGCGGUGAAAUGCGCAGAUAUCAGGAGGAACACCGA